CAGGGCUCUGUGUUGGCCAGUGCAGCUCCAGAGCAAGGAUCUAUCCUUUGUGGAAAUACGUUGUAGUAGAGGCUGGUCAGUUACCAGAAGAGAUGAAAAGGUAACAUUGUUAUUCUAGUCAGAACCCCAUCAGAAUUCACCAGCAGGAGACCAGCACCACCCAGAAGCCUGGGUUGCCCCUGGGUGCCACACUGAACUCCACGGCUCCAGGUUGCAAGGUCUGCACUCCUAUGCCAGCUCCAGGCUAUCCAGAGAGGUGAGGAAGGGUCACAGGGGCAAGUGCGCCUGCAUGUCACCACCUCCUCUACAAGGUGGGAUAAAUCCACCUGCUAGUCCCAUAGAGUUCACAUAAGGUCCCAAUGAGAAAACAUUGGAGAUGAUGCACAUAAAGCUUAAAAGGCUCUGCAGCUGUGAUACGGUGGUGAUAUUAUUGUCAGAAAAGUUUAAAAUAAAU